rnacentral:rRNA from 1 species
AUUGAACGCUGGCGGCAGGCCUAACACAUGCAAGUCGAGCGAGCGGCGGACGGGUGAGUAAUGUCUGGGAAACUGCCUGAUGGAGGGGGAUAACUACUGGAAAAGGUAGCUAAUACCGCAUAACAUCAGAUGUGCCCAGAUGGGAGUAGCUAGUAGGUGGGGUAAUGUCUCACCGAGGCGGCGAUCUCUAGAUGGUCUGAGAGGGUGACCAGCCACACUGGAACGUAGACCAGGUCCAGACGCCUACGGGAGGCAUCAGUGGGGAAUGUUGGACAGUGGGCGCAAGCCUGAUGCAGCCAUGCCGCGUGUGUGAAGAAGGCCUUCGGGUUGUAAAGCACUUUCAGCGGGGAGGCGUUACCCGCAGAAGAAGCACCGGCUAACUCCGUGCCAGCAGCCGCGGUAAUUC